rnacentral:rRNA from 1 species
UGAGGAAUAUUGGUCAAUGGACGAGAGUCUGAACCAGCCAAGUAGCGUGCAGGAUGACGGCCCUCCGGGUUGUAAACUGCUUUUAGUUGGGAAUAAAGUUCGGGACGUGUCCCGAUUUGUAUGUACCAUCAGAAAAAGGACCGGCUAAUUCCGUGCCAGCAGCCGCGGUAAUACGGAAGGUCCUGGUGUUAUCCGGAUUUAUUGGGUUUAAAGGGAGCGUAGGCUGUUGCUUAAGCGUGUUGUGAAAUGCCGCGGCUCAACCGUGGCACUGCAGCGCGAACUGGGCGGCUUGAGUUACCGGUAGGCAGGCGGAAUUCGUGGUGUAGCGGUGAAAUGCUUAGAUAUCACGAAGAACCCCGAUUGCGAAGGCAGCUUGCCGUAGGUUGACUGACGCUGAUGCUCGAAGGCGCGGGUAUCGAACAGGAUUAGAUACCCUGGUAGU